UACGUAGGGUGCGAGCGUUGUCCGGAAUCAUUGGGCGUAAAGAGCUCGUAGGCGGCCUGUCGCGUCGGAUGUGAAAACCCGGGGCUCAACCUCGGGCCUGCAUUCGAUACGGGCAGGCUGGAGUUCGGCAGGGGAGACUGGAAUUCCUGGUGUAGCGGUGAAAUGCGCAGAUAUCAGGAGGAACACCGGUGGCGAAGGCGGGUCUCUGGGCCGAUACUGACGCUGAGGAGCGAAAGCGUGGGGAGCGAACAGG
rnacentral:rRNA from 1 species